GUGCACAUGCAAUUAUAUUAGACACAACGGAGGGCAUAAAACCUUCAUGGCCUCUACCCACAAGGAGACCAGAAAAAUGUUCCACUUUCAGAAAAGGGCAUUUGUCGGUGGGGAACCUGGAGCCUUCUGAUUUCAAGAUUCUUCUUUUUUAAGCACCAAAGGAGGAACAAAAAGCAUGAAGCAUGAAAAUAAGUUCAAAUAGUCCAGGACCAGAAUACCAGAUGUGGCCUUCAUUCUUACUGUCCAAGAUGGCUGACAGAACCAAUGAUCAGAGCCUCAUUCCAAGGAUCAGGAAAGAUGAAGGGGGUGUGGGGAAGACUCCCUUUACCUUGUAAGAAUGCUUCCCAGGGGUCCCCCUCACUUUGGUUAAGGUUUAAAAAAGGUGUAUGAACACACACAAACACAUUUUCUCAGUUUCAGCACUCUUCAUAUGUGGUUUGAGUAAGUAUUUAUAGAAAGAUAGAUUGAUAGUGAAACCACCCUUCAAUAACGGGGUGCAAGGUAAGAACUGUGGUGAGGGCCUAGCUAAAAAUAAUGAUAAUAAUUUGUAACUGUCCCCCUGUAAUUGCCACUUUGGUGCCAUGCAGCUGGUGUCUAUAAAGGUUCUUAACUUUCCCUGUGGAUAACAUCACCUUUAUGGAACCUAAAGGUAGUUUUCAAGAUAUCUUGUAGGCCCUGCAUUCCAGUGGAUGGAUUGGCCCACCCAGACCAGCUGCCCCUCCCAAGAAACUGACUCAACUGGAAUUGUGAACCCAGGGAGUGGAACAACACAGGAAGAUGAUUUCCACACCCCUAUAAUUCUACCCCAAUAAAUGAACCUAAUUACUUAAUGCCUUGUCUGCUAAACCAUGCUUAAAAACCCAGUCUCCUAAUUAAUGAACCUAGUUACCUAAUCUCUUGCCUGCUAACCUAUGUUCAAAAACCCUGUCUCCUAAAUUCUCAUGGAGGGGGAUUUGAGAAAUGUCUCCUGUCACUCCGCUUAGAGCUAUGGGAAUAAAGAGACUUUCUCCAUUGCAAUCCCGACUGUCUAGGGACAUUGGCUCUUCUCUAUGCAGUGGGCAAUACAGUUGGACAGUAACAAUCGAAAGAUAGAUAAAUGUUACAUCUGUUUUAAAAAAGGCAGUAUAAAUAAAAUUUCACUAGUGGUAAUCUUUGGGUAGUAGGAUUACAACUUUAUUUUGCUUUAGGGCUUUCAUUUUCUCUUAAGGUUAUUACUGCUAUUUACCAUAUAUUACUGUCAUAAUUAGACAU